CUGAAAUCUCAUGAGCGCCUGCCUGCUUUUGACAGCACAGAGAGAAUAAAGGGAAUCUCCACAGAGAAUGAAAAAUAGUGACAACAUCUCUAAACACAACAUUGAGACAGUAACCUGAGUAGCCUGUUCCAGUCCUAGCAGCUGUACUUCUCAUGCCACAAGAGACAACCAGGCCAAUCCAAAGUCCAUGUCUGAAUGUCAGUGCCUUUGAAAUGUCUACUGUGCAGAACACAUGAAAAGCACUGCAGGGAGGGUGACGAGACAAAGAGAAAACAGAUCAUGCAAAUAUGAAUCAAGUGAGUACACUAGUGGAAUAUCAAUUAUGACAAAGGAAUAAUGCACACAAGGAGCCCCAAGGCACGAAAGGACCGGGGAAAACCACGUUUAGAGGGAAUCAAUCAUGGGAGCUUCCUGGAGAACAUGCCAGUAAAAUUGUGAAUGUUUAUCAUUAAACGAGUAACACUAACAUUAACCACAAUUAAUCUGAAAGGAACAUAUUUUUGUUCCUUCAGAGCAAAGAAACGAAAAAAGCUUCAGUCAUUUCUUCCUUCCAGACUUUGUUCCUUUAACUGCCAA
rnacentral:lncRNA from 1 species